rnacentral:rRNA from 1 species
AUUGAACGCUGGCGGCAGGCUUAACACAUGCAAGUCGAGCGGGGGAAGGUAGCUUGCUACCGGACCUAGCGGCGGACGGGUGAGUAAUGCUUAGGAAUCUGCCUAUUAGUGGGGGACAACAUCUCGAAAGGGAUGCUAAUACCGAAUACGCCCAAGGGGAGAAAGCAGGGGAUCUUGGGACCUGGCGCUAAUAGAUGAGCCUAAGUCGGAUUAGCUAGUUGGUGGGGUAAAGGCCUACCAAGCGGACGAUCUGUAGCGGGUCUGAGAGGAUGAUCCGCCACACUGGGACUGAGACACGGACCAGACUCCUACGGGAGGCAGCAGUGGGGAAUAUUGGACAAUGGGGGGAACCCUGAUCCAGCCAUGCCGCGUGUGUGAAGAAGGCCUUAUGGUUGUAAAGCACUGUAAGCGAGGAGGAGGCUACUCUAGUUAAUACCUAGGGAUAGUGGACGUUACUCGCAGAAUAAGCACCGGCUAACUCUGUGCCAGCCGCCGCCGUAA